GGGUCAGUAGGUUGGUCAUGCCACUGGUAUGUACUGGUCUUACUGAUUCCUCCUUCCUGAUGAACUGUAAUGCCAUUAAUUUGGUGUUGCAGGGAAUCUGGGCUGUUACUUUGAAAAAAUUAGAGUGUUUAAAGCAGACUAUCGUCUGAAUACAUUAGCAUGGAAUAAUGAAAUAGGACGGACUGAUUCUAUUUCGUUGGUUUCUAGGAUCACCGUA
rnacentral:rRNA from 1 species